GGCAGCUUUAUAGUUGCAUAUUAUUGGUUAGUUAGCUAGCUGACAGGCAGCUGCAUACUAUACUGGUUUCCACUAGAUAGCACAAACAGUCAAAAUUGGCUAUAAGAAUUCAUGAAAACUUAAAAUGAAUUUAAGGUUAGGCAUAAGGUUAGGUUUAAAAUAACAUUUUAAUAAGAACAUUUGAAGAAAUAGGCAGGGUUUACAGCUGUGGUAACUAGUGACGACCCUGCAUACUAGCUAGUUAGCCUUACGUUAGCUGGGUUAAUGUUGAUUGCUCAUGCGUUUGUUACCAUCAUCUUUGUCAUUAUUCUCAAUGUUUCAUAAUCAAUGUGGUUCGACUGCUAAUCGAAACAUAUACGUCAGUGGUACACACCGGCUGUUAUUAUUGUAGCUAUCUAAAUUGGCUACACAGUACGUAUAGCUAGGUCGUUGUUUGUACAUUCAACUACGUACGAUACGUCGUAACACGGAACAAAGUAAAGAUUGCGCCAGAAGGGGUCUGUUUUUUCAACUUUUCUCAAAUACUAUUUGUCCAUUGUCUUGUCAAUCAAAGUUUGACACUAACAGAUUAGUUGUAGGCCCAUUCGUUUUCAUUGCAGCCCUGUUUGAACACAUAGUUACGCUAAUGCCGUAUUCACGAUACUCAGUGAGUCAACUCGCAUCCAGCUCCAGUAGCUGCAUAGAAAGAACCUGCCUCUCCUACACAAGUGAAUCAACGAGGAUGAACAAGCAGCACUUUAGAGAUGUUCGAUCAGGUUGAAGUUCAGGCUCUGGCUGGGCCACUGCAUUGUCCAAUGGGCUCCCGAGUGGCACAGAGGUUUAAGGCACUGCAUCUCAGUGCUAGAGGUGUCACUACAGACACCCUGGUUCAAAUCCAGUCUGUAUCACAACCGGUCGUGAUUGGGAGUCCCAUAGUGUGGCGCACAUUUGACCCAGCAUUGUACGGGUUUUGCCGGUGUAGGCCGUCAUUGUAAAUAAGAAUUUGUUCUUAACUGACUUGCCUAGUUAAAUAAAGUUUGAAUAAAAAAUAUAUAAACAAAUUGACUUGGCUGUGUGCUUACGGUCAUUGUCCUGUUGGAAGGUGAACCUCAAAUCAAAUUGGUCACAUACACAUGGUUAGCAGAUGUUAUUGCGAGUGUAGCGAAAUGCUUGUGCUUCU
rnacentral:lncRNA from 1 species